rnacentral:rRNA from 1 species
UACAGAGGUCUCAAGCGUUGUUCGGAUUCAUUGGGCGUAAAGGGUGCGUAGGCGGCGCGGUAAGUCGGGUGUGAAAUCUCGGAGCUUAACUCCGAAACUGCAUUCGAUACUGCCGUGCUUGAGGACUGGAGAGGAGACUGGAAUUUACGGUGUAGCGGUGAAAUGCGUAGAUAUCAGGAGGAAUACCGGUGGCGAAAGCGACUCUCUGGACGGUAACUGACGCUGAGGCACGAAAGCGUGGGGAGCAAACAGG